AAAAGUGCACAACGCAUGUCAUUACUCUAAAGAAGUUUUUAUAUUUGAUCUAACUCAAAAAAAUACAUUUUCUGUCCAGCCAUCAGUUUUAUGUAAAAAAUGUGUUUGAUUUAAAUUAAAAGUAAGUCCUGUUGGUGUAAAGUAAAUAAAUUUCUGUAAAUUAAAGUAAAAAUAUUAGUUUCCAUUGUCACGUGACUUACGUAACGUCAUCCUGGUCGUGCGUGAGGACGUUCAGCUGAAGUUCAGCUUUCCGCCAUCUUGUUAUACACUGCACCGAUGGAUGAACUCCGCGUCGUACAAUGGGAUUCAAGAAAAUUGAUUAAUGCAGAAUUGCGCAUCACGAUCUUACCUUGAAAAUCAAGAUUUAUGGCCUCUUUAGACAGACAGAGCUCUCAUGUUAUUAGGAGCAACGGUGGAGUCCUCCAUGAAAAACUAAGGACACUAUUAAAGUUAUGGAUCAGAGUCUGGACGUAGAAAUCAGAAGAGAAAGCCUGCUGAAGUGCCUGAUUCAUGUACGAUUCAUGUGAAGAUGCAAGCUGUCUGAUCAAAGAAUACCAGGCUGACAAGAGGGAAGAAGCGGAGAGGGAAUUCAAAAAGACCACCAUGGAAUUUUUUGUGAUCCGUGAAAGUGAUGCUCCUAAUCCUGCACUGGACAUUUUCAUUGAUGAUGUGGAGUAAUAAAUGAGUUGCCCUCUGUUGCAUGUGCAUGUUUGGACUCAUUUGAACUGAACUUAAAAUAUCCUAAUGGAAUCAAAUAUACCUUUAAAGCCUUUCAAAAAAAAAUGUCAUGGACGUAGACAGUAAGCAGAUGAGCCGAAGGGUGCAGAACCCCUCUUCAAAACUGCAGGAGUAAAUUUGUUUCCUUUGACCCAGCUACUGAAGGUACAUUUUUGAGCCUUUUAUACAACAUUAACUGUAAUACUGUUUACUAAACCUGA